UUGUGUUCACAGUUACGCGGAGGAACUGUUUAACCAAACAUCCCUGCUUUUCAUAGGAUUAUUGCGUUAUUGUAAAAAAAAAUUUUUAUUUUGACUGACAUCACCUUCUCGUCCUUUGGGGUGACUAGUAAGCAGAUGUCGAGGUAAAUGGACCAACGGUAGGUAAAGUAGGCACAGUGUCUCAUCAUGUUCUUCCUGUCGACCUUUUAUUUAUAGACGUUAUAUAUAUUAUUUAGCUUAAUCUAGUUUAAUAAUUCAUAAAUAGACGCUGUCUUGUAAUGGCAAGAGAACGUUUUGAUUUACUACUUUUUGUACAGGGUACAGACUUACACUAACUUUACCGGACUCGCCAUGUUUUGAUUUUGAAAUGCAGGUUAUGACAUAUGAAGUGAUGUUAUAUAGCGACGUUUGUUUGCUGUCGCUGUAUAAACUAGUUUAGAAACAGCGAAGAGAUGAUGAACACUGGUCCACUCACUUAUCCGCUGCCUCUAGCCUUUUGAAUGAUAACAAAACCGUUAUUUUCAGAACUGACCAAUCAGAUCUCACCAGAAACCUGCGCGUUGCUCAGCUCUGACACUCCAACUGAUGUUUCUGUGGCAAUUACCGGCUCCGAUCUCGUCUUACCUGCCAAGAACAGCUUACUCACGACGGGCGGAUUUUUCUGGAGAAGUACACAGUGCUCAAAAUCUUUGUGCAUACUUUUAACUCUGGUCAGUUGGGGUAAUUUGGUACUUAUUCUGAGAAAAACAUUCACUGUGCUUACACGACCUGCCUGUCUCUCACUGACCAAAUCACUAUUACCAGGUGACCCAACAGUGACAAUAAACUUUUGGUGUAACAAGCAAGAGGACAAGCAUCUGCUGUCUAUAAGGGUAAAAUUACAGGUUAUGAAAAGAGCCCCCUG